rnacentral:tRNA from 1 species
AAUAGUUUAAUUUAUAAAAUAUAAAUAUGUCAAGUUUAAAAUGC